rnacentral:rRNA from 1 species
UACGUAGGGACCGAGCGUUGUCCGGAUUCAUUGGGCGUAAAGGGCUCGUAGGUGGCCAACUAAGUCAGACGUGAAAUCCCUCGGCUUAACCGGGGAACUGCGUCUGAUACUGGAUGGCUAGAGUUUGGGAGAGGGAUGCGGAAUUCCAGGUGUAGCGGUGAAAUGCGUAGAUAUCUGGAGGAACACCGGUGGCGAAGGCGGCAUCCUGGACCAACACUGACGCUGAGGAGCGAAAGCCAGGGGAGCAAACGGG